rnacentral:rRNA from 1 species
GUGCCCAGGCGCGAAAACUUUGCAAUACACGAAAGUGUGACAGGGCUAUCCCGAGUGCCAUCCGCUGAGGAAGGCUUUUACCCAGUCUAGAACGCUGGGGGAAUAAGGAGAGGGCAAGUCUGGUGUCAGCCGCCGCGGUAAUACCAGCUCUCCGAGUGGUGUGGAUGUUUAUUGGGCCUAAAGCAUCCGUAGCUGGCUAAGUUAGUCCCUUGUUAAAUCCACCGAAUUAAUCGUUGGAUUGCGGGGGAUACUGCUUGGCUAGGGGACGAGAGAGGCAGACGGUAUUUCCGGGGUAGGGGUGAAAUCCUAUAAUCCCGGGAAGACCACCAGUGGCGAAGGCUGUCUGCUAGAACGCGCCCGACGGUGAGGGAUGAAAGCUGGGGGAGCGAACCGGAUUAGAUACCCGGGUAGUCCCAGCUGUAAACGAUGCAGGCUAGGUGUUUGGACGGCCACGUGCCGUUCUAGUGCCGCAGGGAAGCUGUUAAGCCUGCCGCCUGGGGAGUACGAUCGCAAGAUUGAAACUUAAAGGAAUUGGCGGAGGAGCAC